rnacentral:rRNA from 1 species
GUGAGGAAUAUUGCGCAAUGGGGGAAACCCUGACGCAGCGACGCCGCGUGAGUGAUGAAGGCCUUCGGGUCGUAAAGCUCUGUUGCAGGGGAAUAAAAAAAUGAAGGUACCCUGUGAGGAAGGAUCGGCUAACUUCGUGCCAGCAGCCGCGGUAAGACGAGGGAUCCUAGCGUUGCUCGGAAUCAUUGGGCGUAAAGAGGGCGUAGGUGGCUUGGUAAGUCAGGUGUGAAAGCCCAGGGCUCAACCCUGGAAGUGCAUUUGAUACUGCUGAGCUUGAGUGUAGGAGAGGUUACCGGAAUACCUGGUGUAGUGGUGAAAUACGUAGAUAUCAGGUGGAACACCGGAGGCGAAGGCGGGUAACUGGACGAACACUGACACUGAGGCCCGAAAGCGUGGGGAUCAAACAGGAUUAGAAACCCGUGUAGUCC